rnacentral:misc_RNA from 1 species
AACGCACCUUGCACCCUUUGGUAUUCCGAAGGGUAUGCCUGUCUGAGUGUCAUUAGACCAUCUCCUCGACCCGUUUUCGGGACACGGGAGCUUUGGGGGUUUUUGCCUUUUUGCCGGCUCCCCUUAAAUGCCUUAGUGAAGCUUUUAAUCCAAGUCGUUUGGAAGCGUCACUCUAAUUGCACACUCUUGAUUUGACCUCAGAUCAGGUAGGACUACCCGCUGAACUUAA